rnacentral:rRNA from 1 species
CAAUGGGCGAAAGCCUGAUCCAGCCAUGCCGCGUGAGUGAUGAAGGCCCUAGGGUUGUAAAGCUCUUUUGUGCGGGAAGAUAAUGACGGUACCGCAAGAAUAAGCCCCGGCUAACUUCGUGCCAGCAGCCGCGGUAAUACGAAGGGGGCUAGCGUUGCUCGGAAUCACUGGGCGUAAAGGGUGCGUAGGCGGGUUUCUAAGUCAGUGGUGAAAUCUCCGAGCUUAACUUGGAAAAUGCCGUUGAUACUAUAGGUCUUGAAUUAUCUGGACGUAAGCUGAAUAUGUCAUGUAGCGGUGAAAUGCUUAGAUAUGACAUAGAACACCAAUUGCGAAGGCAGCUUACUACAUAUAA